UCUAUAUUGGGCUUUACUAAUGUUUCAUUCUGAUCUUGUGUGAAUCGUAAUCCCCUGGUACUGAAUCGUAACUGUGAUGUUAUUGUUGAUUUACAGCAGUGAAAAAAUGUGACUCAACUGUUAACUUAUACUUUUUCUCUUUACUGUGAACCAAAGUUUAUUUGUGAUUUGUAGUAAAGAUUAAGCCCAUGAUUAUUCUGUGAAACUGUAUGAGGCCUUUAACUCGCAAACAUGAUUUAAAUCAUUCCCCUUAAAAAUUUUGAUUCCUUCACAUAAAACCUAAUGAUGAAUUAUGAAUCUUCUUGAGACUUCUUAUUCAUAUUCAUGUUUGUUCUAACAUUACUUCACUUUCUCUUUUCAUGUGAUAAUGAGCAUUGGUGGCAAAAGGCAAGGCAAGGUCAUUUUUAUGGAGUUUGGAGGCAUUGGGGAACAAAGCUUCUUUUGUGUAAUUUCUUUAUAGGUUGAUUCAGUUGGGGGAAAUCAGUUAGAGAUUCAGUUAAAAAUUGAAUGGAUGAGAUGGUUGAUUUGGUUAAGAGGUGUUGGACUGACGGUGUUGAGCAGGAUCAUCGAGAACAAGGGUUGAAGGUUGCUUUUGUUCAAAAGUUGUUGUUGAUUGUGAUGCUACUCAAAAGCAGAAUUUGCUGUCAAUAUUUGAGCUAUGACUUGAAGGCUGCUUUCGUUCAUUAGCAGGAUUGCUUGCUCCCCUUAAGGUAAUCGGAGGAACCUUAGCUGAUCACACAUUCUCCACAAAAGCCCCGGUUGAAGAGACUCGCAAGAAGAUCUGGCUUAUGGACUCCAAGGUAAUAAGAGCUUCUCAUUUACCUCAGCCAAAGGAUCUUAUCGAAUACGCGGAAUCAGGGGUGAAUUUGGUAUUGGAUCUU